rnacentral:rRNA from 1 species
AUUGAACGCUGGCGGCAUGCCUUACACAUGCAAGUCGAACGGCAGCACGGGAGCAAUCCUGGUGGCGAGUGGCGAACGGGUGAGUAAAGUAUCGGAACGUGCCCAGUCGUGGGGGAUAACGUAGCGAAAGUUACGCUAAUACCGCAUACGAUCUACGGAUGAAAGCGGGGGAUCGCAAGACCUCGCGCGAUUGGAGCGGCCGAUAUCAGGUUAGGUAGUUGGUGGGGUAAAGGCUCACCAAGCCGACGAUCUGUAGCUGGUCUGAGAGGACGACCAGCCACACUGGGACUGAGACACGGCCCAGACUCCUACGGGAGGCAGCAGUGGGAAUUUUGGACAAUGGGCGAAAGCCUGAUCCAGCCAUGCCGCGUGCAGGAUGAAGGCCUUCGGGUUGUAAACUGCUUUUGUACGGAACGAAAAGGUUUGGCCUAAUAAGCUGAGCUCAUGACGGUACCGUAAGAAUAAGCACCGGCUAACUACGUGCCAGCCGCCGCCGUAA